GGAUGGGUGGCUGGGUGGAGGAGUGGGUGCGGGUUGUAACGGUCGGGGGUACAGAUUGCUGCAAUUAGCUUAAUGAGUAGACGAACCUCCAGCCAAUCCCCUCCUGGACCAUUUCCACUUAUGGUCUGGUUCUGGUGUGUGCCGGCAGAUGCCAGACCUGAUUACCUUGUUAGUGACUCGGGCUUCGACCUCAAUUCUAGUUUCUUAAUCGUUUUAAUGGACAAAUAGCAACGCAAUGUGAUGUGCUUCUUAUUUUUCAGCAUAUUUGUAGUUGAGGUAUCUGGUCCUUCUUGCGAAUAAUGCUACCUCAAAAAAUUUAAAAGCACUAUUCAGAUUUUUGGUUCUUAUUCAUUUGUGUAAAUGGUAGAAGAUCAUUCAAAUCUUUUUGUGUGCUCUGAACGAAGUAAUUCCUGUCCAAUUUGGUCUGCCAUUUGCCAGAUGGGAGACACAAAUUGAGAUAUUCUGUUAGUCUUCAUCUACUCCAUCACGAAAGCAAAGGAGCAAACACAUCACGCAGAGUUGAGCUCAGAGGUCACGGGGAACCUGGAGCCUAUCCCAGGGAGCAUCGGGCACAAGGCGGGGUACACCCUGGACACGGUGCCAAUCCAACUAUGGUUCUUUUACGUAUGAAUCUAUAUAUAACUGUUGUUUUUGUCUGUACCACUGAGUCAAACCUCCCAAACUAUUUGGUGGAAAACACAUCCUACGACCAUCGCCAGUCCAUCAUUCCUCAGAGUAGUUCACCUUAACAUCAAGAACACCUUUAUCUUUCUUUCAGAGUGGAGAGUUUGAUGGGAACGGAGGUAGCAGUGAUAUCAGGGUUUUUGACGGUUAUAUGCAGGCAGAGGAACAAAACAUAAAUACACAUUCAGCUUUUCCUACAAUUCUGCUCCCAGAUUCGUUUUUGAGCAAAUUCUUUUCAGCAGAAAAUUGCAUCUCGGUGCGUAUCCUGUUCUCUCAGAGAGAUCUGCCCGCUCAGAUGACGCGGUUGCGGUGCUGUUGACGAAGACAGCUUGCGAAACAGAAGGCGUUUUAGGAAAAUGUGUCCAGGUUCAAUGGCUUAUGAAAUUUGUUGAUGCUCCAGCAAGUAAAUAAAUAAAUUAAUAAACCAGAUCAAUAAAUAAAUGCAAAUGAGAUUUUUCUGUUUUCAUUAUAUUCUCCCAGAAAGUCACAUUUGCGCUCUGCGCAUUUUCCUGCGUGAAUAUUUUACCUUACAGGAAAAGCAUUUUUGUUUCGUGACGAGGGUUAAAAAGUAAACGCUUGAACGUGCGCACGACUGAAAGGACAACGUGACUGAACCUGUAGGACGGAGUUCUCCAAACAUUCAGCUCUGCUUAAUGGACGUUUAGGAC
ensembl:lncRNA